UACGAAGGGGGCGAGCGUUGUUCGGAUUUACUGGGCGUAAAGGGCGCGCAGGCGGCUAUCCAAGUCAGGCGUGAAAGCCCCGGGCUUAACCUGGGAGGUGCGUCUGGGACUGGGUGGCUAGAGUUCGGGAGAGGAGAGUGGAAUUCCCAGUGUAGAGGUGAAAUUCGUAGAUAUUGGGAAGAACACCGGUGGCGAAGGCGGCUCUCUGGACCGAGACUGACGCUGAGGCACGAAAGCUAGGGGAGCAAACAGG
rnacentral:rRNA from 1 species